rnacentral:rRNA from 1 species
UAAUACGUAGGGUGCGAGCGUUAAUCGGAAUUACUGGGCGUAAAGCGUGCGCAGGCGGUUCGCUGUGUCCGAUGUGAAAGCCCCGGGCUCAACCUGGGAAUGGCAUGGGAAACUGGCGGGCUGGAGUGUGGCAGAGGGGGGUGGAAUUCCGCGUGUAGCAGUGAAAUGCGUAGAGAUGCGGAGGAACACCGAUGGCGAAGGCAGCCCCCUGGGCCAACACUGACGCUCAGGCACGAAAGCGUGGGGAGCAAACAGGAUUAGAUACCCUGGUAGUCCACGCCCUAAACGAUGUCGACUGGGUGUUGGGGAAGCGAUUCCUUGGUACCGAAGCUAACGCGUGAAGUCGACCGCCUGGGGAGUACGGCCGCAAGGUUA